rnacentral:rRNA from 1 species
GACGAACGCUGGCGGCGUGCCUAACACAUGCAAGUCGAGCGAUGAAACCCCUUCGGGGGUGGAUUAGCGGCGGACGGGUGAGUAACACGUGGGUAACCUGCCUCAAAGUGGGGGAUAGCCUUCCGAAAGGAAGAUUAAUACCGCAUAAAGCCAAGUUUCACAUGGAAUUUGGAUGAAAGGAGUAAUUCGCUUUGAGAUGGACCCGCGGCGCAUUAGUUAGUUGGUGGGGUAAUGGCCUACCAAGACAGCGAUGCGUAGCCGACCUGAGAGGGUGGUCGGCCACAUUGGAACUGAGAUACGGUCCAGACUCCUACGGGAGGCAGCAGUGGGGAAUAUUGCACAAUGGGCGAAAGCCUGAUGCAGCAACGCCGCGUGAGUGAUGAAGGUCUUCGGAUUGUAAAGCUCUGUCUUUUGGGACGAUAAUGACGGUACCAAAGGAGGAAGCCACGGCUAACUACGUGCCAGCAGCCGCGGUAAUACGUAGGUGGCGAGCGUUGUCCGGAUUUACUGGGCGUAAAGGGUGCGUAGGCGGAUGUUUAAGUGAGAUGUGAAAUACCCGGGCUUAACUUGGGUGCUGCAUUUCAAACUGGAUAUCUAGAGUGCAGGAGAGGAGAAUGGAAUUCCUAGUGUAGCGGUGAAAUGCGUAGAGAUUAGGAAGAACACCAGUGGCGAAAGCGAUUCUCUGGACUGUAACUGACGCUGAGGCACGAAAGCGUGGGUAGCAAACAGAUUAGAUACCCUGGUAGUCCACGCCGUAAACGAUGAGUACUAGGUGUAGGAGGUAUCGACCCCUUCUGUGCCGCAGUAAACACAUUAAGUACUCCGCCUGGGAAGUACGAUCGCAAGAUUAAAACUCAAAGGAAUUGACGGGGGCCCGCACAAGCAGCGGAGCAUGUGGUUUAAUUCGAAGCAACGCGAAGAACCUUACCUGGACUUGACAUCCCCUGAAUAACCUAGAGAUAGGCGAAGCCCUUCGGGGCAGGGAGACAGGUGGUGCAUGGUUGUCGUCAGCUCGUGUCGUGAGAUGUUAGGUUAAGUCCUGCAACGAGCGCAACCCUUAUUGUUAGUUGCUAACAUUCAGUUGAGCACUCUAACGAGACUGCCGCGGUUAACGCGGAGGAAGGUGGGGAUGACGUCAAAUCAUCAUGCCCCUUAUGUCCAGGGCAACACACGUGCUACAAUGGGCAGAACAAAGAGAAGCAAUACCGCGAGGUGGAGCCAGACUCAAAAACUGCUCUCAGUUCGGAUUGCAGGCUGAAACUCGCCUGCAUGAAGUUGGAGUUGCUAGUAAUCGCGAAUCAGCAUGUCGCGGUGAAUACGUUCCCGGGCCUUGUACACACCGCCCGUCACACCAUGAGAGCUGGCAACACCCGAAGUCCGUAGUCUAACGUAAGAGGACGCGGCCGAAGGUGGGGUUAGUGAUUGGGGUG